GCCCUGACCAGCAUGGCUCAGUUGGUUGAGCAUCAGCCUGCAAAGCAUAUGGUCACAGGUUCAAAUCCUGGUCAGGGCA